UACGGAGGGGGGUAGCGUCGUUCGGAAUUACUGGGCGUAAAGCGCGCGUAGGCGGACCUGCAAGUCGGGGGUGAAAUCACGAGGCUCAACCUCGGAACUGCCUUCGAUACUGCGGGUCUCGAGUCCGGGAGAGGUGAGUGGAAUUCCUAGUGUAGAGGUGAAAUUCGUAGAUAUUAGGAAGAACACCAGUGGCGAAGGCGGCUCACUGGCCCGGUAUUGACCAUGAGGCGCGAAAGCGUGGGGAGCAAACAGG
rnacentral:rRNA from 1 species